rnacentral:lncRNA from 1 species
CAACCGGCGCCAUCUUGCCCCGCUGCUCCCUGUUGCGCGCGUCCUAUCCUGCUGUGGCAUCGACGAGCGCGCGUCCAGCCACGACCACCUCGCCUCGCUGCUCCCCAUCCGUGUGGCUGCUCCUCCACGACUCGGGCAGAAGGGAGGCAGGAAGAGGUAGCAGCUUGGGCCAGAGAGAACGACGACGGAGGAGCGUCCAGGCUCGAGCUCGGCCACGGCCGCCGCUGCGCUCACACGCCCGGCUCGAGCUCGUCCAUGGCUGCCGCUGCUCCCGGCGAUGGGGACGCUCGAGGUUGACGGGGGAGCAGAGACGCUCGAGGUUGACGGGGGAGCAGAGACGCUGCUCCCGGCGAUGGGGAGCUCGAGGUUGACGGGGGAGCAGAGACGCUACCGCCGCCGGCGGCCCCUCCGGAGUGCAAGAGGAUGAGCGACGGGGAGGGGGCGAAUG